GAUGUCGGGGUGUACGAGAAAGUCCAACAUCCCUGAGCGUUCCCAGAUUAUCAAGGCCGCUGAGAUGAGAACACAUGUUUUUCCUACUGCAUUAAGCGUUUUGAAUGUAUGCUAAAAAUGUUAAUACGUUAUUCAAGGGACUGGAAUUUUUCUUUCAGCUUUGCCCUGGAGUCAGAGCUGCAGCAAGGCUGGGGCGAGAGGGACAUCUGUCCGCUGAGGAAGGCCCCAAAUGCGUGCAAAUACGCCAGACCCCCCCAGCCGCUGUGGUGACCUGGAAAAACAGCCUGGAGAUUUACAGUGAGCAGGAGGUGACGGCAGCAAUGGGAAGGAGCCCAAAAAGGAGGCGACAGAGUGCCCUGGGCACCCAGCGGGCACCAGGAAUAAAACCUCUGCAAAUAGAAAGGGCCGGUGGGGCCCCGUCACCAUGGCAUGAAGUGGCAAGGAGGCUCCCCGGGGGGCCGGGAAGGUCCCGGGGCGGCACAGACCCUGCCGCACAGCCUGGCAGCUGCACCAAGGCUGUGCGGGAGGGCGGAUGGGCACCACGAGCCAGGCGCCGUGCUGCCUGCCGGCCAUCGGGUGCACAAAUCCCAGAGCCCAUUUGGAGACUUUUGGUAUUUCUCCCCUUUCUGGCUUUAUCACGUAUGGUCAUUUCAUUUGUAUUGCAAAAAAUUCUUGUAUUGGCUUGUCCUCAUCCUGAAUCUGCAGUGAGCCAUCAGACCGAGUUUUCCUCCUGA
rnacentral:lncRNA from 1 species